GACAGAGGAGCCAAGCGUUGUCCGGACUGACUGGGCGUAAAGCGCCCGCAGGCGGCCGUGCACGUGGGGUGUGAAAGCGCUCGGCUUAACUGAGCGAGGCCAUCCCAUACGGCGCGGCUCGAGCCGUCCAGAGGCCGGUGGAAUUGCCGGUGUAGUGGUGAUAUGCGUAGAUAUCGGGAGGAACACCUGUGGCGAAGGCGGCUUUCUGGGCCUUACCUGACGCUGAGACGCGAAAGCGUGGGGAGCGAACCGG
rnacentral:rRNA from 1 species